AUUGAACGCUGGCGGCAUGCCUUACACAUGCAAGCCGAACGGCAGCACGGGAGCUUGCUCCUGGUGGCGAGUGGCGAACGGGUGAGUAAUACAUCGGAACGUACCCUGAAGUGGGGGAUAACGUAGCGAAAGUUACGCUAAUACCGCAUAUUCUGUGAGCAGGAAAGAGGGGGAUCGCAAGACCUCUUGCUUUAGGAGCGGCCGAUGUCGGAUUAGCUAGUUGGUGAGGUAAAGGCUCACCAAGGCGACGAUCCGUAGCGGGUCUGAGAGGAUGAUCCGCCACACUGGGACUGAGACACGGCCCAGACUCCUACGGGAGGCAGCAGUGGGGAAUUUUGGACAAUGGGCGCAAGCCUGAUCCAGCCAUGCCGCGUGAGUGAAGAAGGCC
rnacentral:rRNA from 1 species